GUGCUCAAGCGGGACCUGCCCUUUGUCACCCACACGUUGUCAUCAGAGUUCACCAUCCUGUGGUCAGUGGCUAGACUGUAGCAGCCGAGAACCUCGGCAUCACCAGUGGCUUCGUGAAGCCCAAGCUGGGGCCUUGGUGUACCUUGUUGUAGUGUUUGAAAACAUCUGAGGCUGCAUCCAUCUCCAGCACCCCAUAAAGCAACAGCUUGCAGAACCCGGCUAGGAGGCGGCGCCGCUGGUGUAGCCGCUCUAUCUGUAAAUGAUCCUCCUGGGAAUCACCUGGCUCACAUGGAAGGCAAAAGGGAAUCACAGACUUAAGCUUCCUGCCCUAUAUUUCUGAGCUACACCCAAGCCCCAGCCCUUACUGAGCCCCAGGUAUAGAGUCACUGCACCACUGCCCAGGUCUCCCGGCUGGAUGAAGACGUGGUCCAUGAGGAAGCUGG
ensembl:lncRNA CASTOR3P CASTOR family member 3, pseudogene